AGAGUUUGAUCAUGGCUCAGGACGAACGCUGGCUGCGUGCUUAACACAUGCAAGUCGAACGCUGAAGCCGACAGCUUGCUGUUGGUGGAUGAAUGGCGAACGGGUGAGUAACACGUGAGUAACCUGCCCCUGAUUUCGGGAUAAGCCUGGGAAACUGGGUCUAAUACCGGAUAUGACCAAUCCUUGCAUGAGGGUUGGUGGAAAGUUUUUCGAUCGGGGAUGGGCUCGCGGCCUAUCAGCUUGUUGGUGGGGUAAUGGCCUACCAAGGCGACGACGGGUAGCCGGCCUGAGAGGGCGACCGGCCACACUGGGACUGAGACACGGCCCAGACUCCUACGGGAGGCAGCAGUGGGGAAUAUUGCACAAUGGGGGAAACCCUGAUGCAGCGACGCAGCGUGCGGGAUGACGGCCUUCGGGUUGUAAACCGCUUUCAGCAGGGAAGAAGCGAAAGUGACGGUACCUGCAGAAGAAGUACCGGCUAACUACGUGCCAGCAGCCGCGGUAAUACGUAGGGUACGAGCGUUGUCCGGAAUUAUUGGGCGUAAAGAGCUCGUAGGUGGUUGGUCACGUCUGCUGUGGAAACGCAACGCUUAACGUUGCGCGUGCAGUGGGUACGGGCUGACUAGAGUGCAGUAGGGGAGUCUGGAAUUCCUGGUGUAGCGGUGAAAUGCGCAGAUAUCAGGAGGAACACCGGUGGCGAAGGCGGGACUCUGGGCUGUAACUGACACUGAGGAGCAAAAGCAUGGGGAGCGAACAGGAUUAGAUACCCUGGUAGUCCAUGCCGUAAGCGUUGGGCACUAGGUGUGGGGGACAUUCCACGUUCUCCGCGCCGUAGCUAACGCAUUAAGUGCCCCGCCUGGGGAGUACGGUCGCA
rnacentral:rRNA from 1 species